UGAUAUCAGUAUCAAGAUAAAAGUUUGGAAUGGGAGAAAAAUUCUCAAAGCCUGAAAGAAAAUCUGGAGAUGCUGUUUUUCCAGCAGCUCAGUUAAGGGAGAACUUAGCUUGUCUCUGUUUCUUGAUUCCUCUUCAAUUUCUGUUUGCAAACCAAGACUUGUGUUUGGAGAACUCUAUUGUACUGAGCCUAAGUCAUUUUUGAUCUAUAACAAGAACAUGCAUUUUCACAUGUCAACCGGAUUUGUGGACCAGUAAAGUUCUUUCACGAGAGAUGGGGUCUCACUCUGUCAUCCAGGCUGGAAUAUAGUGGCCCAAUCAUAGCCCAUUGUAGCCUCCAUCUCAAGGACUUGGGAUCCUCCCUCCUAGGCCUCCCAAGUAGCUGGGAUUACAGGUAGUUACUUUUGGUGACACUAUCCAGUUCCCACAAUGUAUCAUUCCUUAACUGAAACUAGACAUCCUCUGCAGCCAGAAGAACAAGAAGUAGGCAUUGACCCCUUGUCCAGUUACUCUAACAAGUCUGGAG
rnacentral:sRNA from 1 species